UGUCUCCUACGGGGCGCAGCAGAAGGGAAUAUUGCUCAAGGGGGGAAACCCUGAUGCAGCGACGCCGCGUGGGCGAAGAAGUAUUUCGGUAUGUAAAGCCCUAUCAGCAGGGAAGAAGAAAUGACGGUACCUGAGUAAGAAGCACCGGCUAAAUACGUGCCAGCAGCCGCGGUAAUACGUAUGGUGCAAGCGUUAUCCGGAUUUACUGGGUGUAAAGGGAGCGCAGGCGGCACGGCAAGCCUGAUGUGAAAGCCCGCGGCCCAACCGCGGGACUGCAUUGGGAACUACCGGGCUGGAGUGC
rnacentral:rRNA from 1 species